rnacentral:rRNA from 1 species
GAUGAACGCUGGCGGCGUGCCUAAUACAUGCAAGUCGAGCGAACAGACGAGGAGCUUGCUCCUCUGACGUUAGCGGCGGACGGGUGAGUAACACGUGGAUAACCUACCUAUAAGACUGGGAUAACUUCGGGAAACCGGAGCUAAUACCGGAUAAUAUAUUGAACCGCAUGGUUCAAUAGUGAAAGACGGUUUUGCUGUCACUUAUAGAUGGAUCCGCGCCGCAUUAGCUAGUUGGUAAGGUAACGGCUUACCAUGGCAACGAUGCGUAGCCGACCUGAGAGGGUGAUCGGCCACACUGGAACUGAGACACGGUCCAGACUCCUACGGGAGGCAGCAGUAGGGAAUCUUCCGCAAUGGGCGAAGGCCUGACGGAGCAACGCCGCGUGAGUGAUGAAGGUCUUCGGAUCGUAAAACUCUGUUAUUAGGGAAGAACAAAUGUGUAAGUAACUAUGCACGUCUUGACGGUACCUAAUCAGAAAGCCACGGCUAACUACGUG